rnacentral:rRNA from 1 species
GUUUGGAUCCUGGCUCAGGACGAACGCUGGCGGCGUGCUUUACACAUGCAAGUCGAACGGAAAGGUCUCUUCGGAGAUACUCGAGUGGCGAACGGGUGAGUAACACGUGGGUGAUCUACCCUGCACUUCGGGAUAAGCCUGGGAAACUGGGUCUAAUACCGGAUAGGACCACGGGAUGCAUGUCCUGUGGUGGAAAGCGUUUAGCGGUGUGGGAUGGGCCCGCGGCCUAUCAGCUUGUUGGUGGGGUGAUGGCCUACCAAGGCGACGACGGGUAGCCGGCCUGAGAGGGUGUCCGGCCACACUGGGACUGAGAUACGGCCCAGACUCCUACGGGAGGCAGCAGUGGGGGAUAUUGCACAAUGGGCGCAAGCCUGAUGCAGCGACGCCGCGUGGGGGAUGACGGCCUUCGGGUUGUAAACCUCUUUCACCAUCGA